rnacentral:rRNA from 1 species
GUGCCAGCAGCCGCGGUAAGACGGAGGGUGCUAGCGUUGUUCGGAAUUACUGGGCGUAAAGGGCGCGUAGGCGGCCUGAUCAGUCGGGUGUGAAAGCCCGGGGCUCAACCCCGGAACGGCACCCGAGACGGUCAGGCUGGAGACCGGGAGAGGAGGGUGGAAUAGCCAGUGUAGAGGUGAAAUUCGUAGAUAUUGGCUGGAACACCGGUGGCGAAAGCGGCUCUCUGGCCCGGUUCUGACGCUGAGGCGCGAAAGCGUGGGGAGCAAACAGGAUUAGAAACCCGCGUAGUCC